UCGCCUGGUUCGCGCGCGGUUUGGCGCGGCCGAUCCAGCAGAUGCGCGACUUCGCGGUCGCGCUCGGCCGCGGCGAGUUCGGCACGCGCCUGGCGAUC
rnacentral:tRNA from 1 species